UGGGGAAUCUUCCGCAAUGGACGAAAGUCUGACGGAGCAACGCCGCGUGAGUGAAGAAGGUUUUCGGAUCGUAAAACUCUGUCUUUUGGGGCGAACGUGAGUAUGGUGAACAAUCAUAGUCAGUGACGGUACCAAAGGAGGAAGCCACGGCUAACUACGUGCCAGCAGCCGCGGUAAUACGUAGGUGGCAAGCGUUGUCCGGAAUUAUUGGGCGUAAAGAGCGCGUAGGCGGGAUAGUCAGUCUGUUGUAAAGUGCGGGGCUCAACCCCGUGAUCGCAAUGGAAACAGCUAUUCUUGAGUGCAGGAGAGGAAAGUGGAAUUCCCAGUGUAGCGGUGAAAUGCGUAGAUAUUGGGAGGAACACCAGUGGCGAAGGCGACUUUCUGGACUGUGUCUGACGCUGAGGCGCGAAAGCCAGGGGAGCGAACGGGAUUAGAUACCCCCGGUAGUCCUGGCCGUAAACGAUGGGUACUAGGUGUGGGAGGUAUCGACCCCUUCCGUGCCGGAGUUAACGCAAUAAGUACCCCGCCUGGGGAGUACGGUCGCAAGACUGAAACUCAAA
rnacentral:rRNA from 1 species